rnacentral:rRNA from 1 species
UUCCGGUUGAUCCUGCCGGACCUGACUGCUAUCGGAUUGAUACUAAGCCAUGCGAGUCUUUGCAGUAAUGCAAGGCAUACGGCUCAGUAACACGUAGUCAACUUACCCUAUGGACGAGGAUAAUCUCGGGAAACUGAGCAUAAUACUCGAUAGAUCAUAAUGCCUGGAACGGUUUAUGGUUGAAAUGAUUCGUCGCCAUAGGAUGGGACUGCGGCCUAUCAGCUUGUUGGUGAGGUAAUGGCCCACCAAGGCGAUUACAGGUACGGGCUCUGAGAGGAGAAGCCCGGAGAUGGGUACUGAGACAAGGACCCAGGCCCUAUGGGGCGCAGCAGGCGAGAAAACUUUGCAAUGUGCGAAAGCACGACAAGGUUAAUCCGAGUGAUUUCUGCUAAAGAAAUCUUUUGCAAGUCAUAAAACCACUAGUGAAUAAGGGGUGGGCAAGUUCUGGUGUCAGCCGCCGCGGUAAAACCAGCACCUCAAGUGGUCAGGAGGAUUAUUGGGCCUAAAGCAUCCGUAGCCGGCUCUGUAAGUUUUCGGUUAAAUCCAUGUGCUCAACGCAUGGGCUGCCGAAAAUACUGCAGAACUAGGGAGUGGGAGAGGUAGACGGUACUCGGUAGGAAGGGGUAAAAUCCUUUGAUCUAUCGAUGACCACCUGUGGCGAAGGCGGUCUACCAGAACACGUUCGACGGUGAGGGAUGAAAGCUGGGGGAGCAAACCGGAUUAGAUACCCGGGUAGUCCCAGCUGUAAACGAUGCAGACUCGAUGAUGCAAUGGCAUAGAGCUAUUGCAGUAUCGCAGGGAAGCCGUUAAGUCUGCCGCCUGGGAAGUACGUACGCAAGUAUGAAACUUAAAGGAAUUGGCGGGGGAGCACCACAAGGGGUGAAGCCUGCGGUUCAAUUGGAUUCAACGCCGG